rnacentral:rRNA from 1 species
ACACGUAGGGAAUUUACUCUUUAGAGGGGGAUAAUCUUAGGGAAACUGAGGAUAAUACCGCAUAAUCUUGUUUACAAGAAAGAUUUUAUUCGCUAAAGAAAUAAGCCUGCGCUAGAUUAAGAUAGUUGGUAGGGGUAAUGGCUUACCAAGUCGAAGAUCUAUACGCUGAUUUGAGAGAAUGGUCAGCCACACGUGGGACUGAGAUACGGCCCAGACUUCUACGGAAGGCAGCAGUGGGGAAUAUUGGACAAUGGGCCGCAAGCCUGAUCCAGCGAUGCCGCGUGAGUGAUGAAGGCCUUC